GGAAUUUUGCGCAAUGGGCGAAAGCCUGACGCAGCAACGCCGCGUGGAGGAUGAAGGUCUUUGGAUUGUAAACUCCUGUCAGCAGGGAAAAAGGGACUGGGCCUCAUACGUCCGGAACUUGAUUGUACCUGCAGAGGAAGCCCCGGCUCACUCUGUGCCAGCAGCCGCGGUAAUACAGCGGGGGCAAGCGUUAUUCGGAAUUAUUGGGCGUAAAGGGCGCGUAGGCGGCCAAGCAAGUCAGGGGUGAAAUCCCUCGGCUCAACCGAGGAACUGCCUCUGAAACUGCAUGGCUUGAGACCGGGAGAGGGUGGUGGAAUUCCCAGUGUAGCGGUGAAAUGCGUAGAUAUUGGGAGGAACACCGGUGGCGAAGGCGGCCACCUGGACCGGUUCUGACGCUGAGGCGCGAAAGUGUGGGGAGCAAAC
rnacentral:rRNA from 1 species